CGGGCGGUAGGAUAGUGGCUAUUCCGCUGGGUUCGGGACUCAGAGAUCGCGGGUUCAACUCCCGCUCGCCCGA
rnacentral:tRNA from 1 species